CUACCUCAACUCAUAUGGGACUACCCCCUGAAUUUAAGCAUAUUAUUUAGGGGAGGAAAAGAAACUAACAAGGAUUUUCUUAGUAGCGGCGAGCGAAAAGAAAUCAGUUCAGCACUAAGUCACUUUGUCUAUAUGGCAAAUGUGAGAUGCACUGUACGGAACAUCAACAUUCUAGUAUGAGAAGUUAACGAUUUUAGUCCUUCUUAAAUGAGGCCAUUUACCCAUAGAGGGUGCCAGGCCCGUAUAACGUUGAAUGAUUACUAUAUGGGUGUUUCCAAAGAGUCGUGUUGCUUGAUAGUGCAUCACUCAGUGGGUGGGAAACUCCAUCUAAAACUAAUUUAACCCUUGAUUACGAUAUUAAAAAAUUAUCGGGAGGGAACGUGGAAAAAACUCUGUAAUAGAUAGUAAAAUAUAUCUUGAACUGUUUUAGGGUAAAGCCCCCUCAACCCAAAAAACCUUAAGGGAAAUCACACCCUGAAAUUAAAUUUUUUAAAAAAAAUUUAAAAA
rnacentral:ncRNA from 1 species